AACUGGUCGAACUGAGCGGCUUCGACCAUCUGAAUGGGGGGUGGAACGGUGGAGUGUUGCUGAGAAUGUGUUGGAGACGCAGCGGCCUCCCGGCCGGAGGUGCGAGAGGCCCCGCGACCGGAGGCAUUGGAAGCUCCACGACCACCUCGCCGUGCCAUUACGAUCGCUCUAAGAUUCGGCCCUUCCUCUAGCGCCAACUGUUGCUGGUGGUCCAAACCGAGAACGAUUGGCACAGCGGUGUG
rnacentral:lncRNA from 1 species